rnacentral:rRNA from 1 species
UACAGAGGGGGCUAGCGUUGUUCGGAAUUACUGGGCGUAAAGGGCGCGUAGGUGGCCUGUUAAGUCGAACGUGAAAUCCCCGGGCUCAACCCGGGAACUGCGUCCGAGACUGGCAGGCUCGAAUCCGGGAGAGGGAUGUGGAAUUCCAGGUGUAGCGGUGAAAUGCGUAGAUAUCUGGAGGAAUACCGGUGGCGAAGGCGGCAUCCUGGACCGACAUUGACGCUGAUGAGCGAAAGCCAGGGGAGCAAACGGG